UGGGAUGUGAUAAGUACCUGUGUGUGUCUU
rnacentral:piRNA from 1 species